rnacentral:rRNA from 1 species
CCUACGGGUUGCAGCAGUGGGGAAUAUUGGACAAUGGGCGAAAGCCUGAUCCAGCAAUGCCGCGUGAGUGAUGAAGGCCCUAGGGUUGUAAAGCUCUUUUACCCGGGAAGAUAAUGACUGUACCGGGAGAAUAAGCCCCGGCUAACUCCGUGCCAGCAGCCGCGGUAAUACGGAGGGGGCUAGCGUUGUUCGGAAUUACUGGGCGUAAAGCGCACGUAGGCGGCUUUGUAAGUCAGAGGUGAAAGCCUGGAGCUCAACUCCAGAACUGCCUUUGAGACUGCAUCGCUUGAAUCCAGGAGAGGUCAGUGGAAUUCCGAGUGUAGAGGUGAAAUUCGUAGAUAUUCGGAAGAACACCAGUGGCGAAGGCGGCUGACUGGACUGGUAUUGACGCUGAGGUGCGAAAGCGUGGGGAGCAAACAGGAUUAGAUACCCUUGUAGUC